rnacentral:snoRNA from 1 species
ACCCUCCAGCUUCCUUUCCCGUCAGACGUAAACAUUGGUCUGAGUGGCCAUUAAAGGAGGAAAAGGCCCAUGGGAGUGGACUUGGAUUCCUCGGUGACAGAGAAGGUUGCUUCAUAGAAAA